GACAGAGGGUGCAAACGUUGUUCGGAAUUACUGGGCGUAAAGCGCGUGUAGGCGGCUUUGCAAGUCGGGCGUGAAAUCCCACGGCUCAACCGUGGAAGUGCACUCGAAACUGCAGAGCUAGAGUCCUGGAGAGGAAGGUGGAAUGCUUGGUGUAGAGGUGAAAUUCGUAGAUAUCAAGCGGAACACCGGUGGCGAAGGCGGCCUUCUGGACAGUGACUGACGCUGAGGAGCGAAAGUGUGGGGAGCGAACAGG
rnacentral:rRNA from 1 species